CCUACGGGUGGCAGCAGUAGGGAAUCUUCCACAAUGGGCGAAAGCCUGAUGGAGCAACGCCGCGUGGGUGAAGAAGGUCUUCGGUAUGUAAAGCUCUAUCAGCAGGGAAGAAGAUGACGGUACCUGACUAAGAAGCCCCGGCUAACUACGUGCCAGCAGCCGCGGUAAUACGUAGGGGGCAAGCGUUAUCCGGAUUUACUGGGUGUAAAGGGAGCGUAGACGGCAGGGCAAGUCUGGAGUGAAAGCCCGGGGCCCAACCCCGGGACUGCUUUGGAAACUGCCAUGCUAGAGUGCUGGAGAGGUAAGCGGAAUUCCUAGUGUAGCGGUGAAAUGCGUAGAUAUUAGGAGGAACACCAGUGGCGAAGGCGGCUUACUGGACAGUAACUGACGUUGAGGCUCGAAAGCGUGGGGAGCAAACAGGAUUAGAUACCCUUGUAGUC
rnacentral:rRNA from 1 species